rnacentral:rRNA from 1 species
CCCCUAGAUGUUCUGGGCCGCACGCGCGCUACACUGAACAGUUCAACAAGUCUUAACCUUGGCCGAUAGGUCUGGGUAAUCUUUGAACGCUGUUCGUGAUUGGGAUAGACCUUUGCAAUUAUGGGUCUUCAACGAGGAAUUCCUAGUAAACGCAAGUCAUCAGCUUGCAUUGAUUACGUCCCUGCCCUUUGUACACACCGCCCGUCGCACCUACCGAUUGAAUGAUCCGGUGAGGCCCCCGGAUUGUGGCAAUGGCUCUGGUUCGCCAGACCAAUGCUGCGAGAAGCUGUCCAAACCUUAUCAUUUAGAGGAAGGAGAAGUCGUAACA